CCGGCUACACAUGCAGUCGAGCGGUAACAGGGGGUGCUUGCACCCCGCUGACGAGCGGCGGACGGGUGAGUAAUGCAUAGGAAUCUGCCCAGUAGUGGGGGAUAGCCCGGGGAAACCCGGAUUAAUACCGCAUACGCCCUUUGGGGGAAAGCAGGGGAUCUUCGGACCUUGCGCUAUUGGAUGAGCCUAUGUCGGAUUAGCUAGUUGGUGGGGUAAAGGCCUACCAAGGCGACGAUCCGUAGCUGGUCUGAGAGGAUGAUCAGCCACAUCGGGACUGAGACACGGCCCGAACUCCUACGGGAGGCAGCAGUGGGGAAUAUUGGACAAUGGGGGCAACCCUGAUCCAGCCAUGCCGCGUGUGUGAAGAAGGCUUUCGGGUUGUAAAGCACUUUCAGUGAGGAGGAAAACCUUCUGGUUAAUACCCAUGAGGCUUGACGUUACUCACAGAAGAAGCACCGGCUAACUCCGUGCCAGCAGCCGCGGUAAUACGGAGGGUGCAAGCGUUAAUCGGAAUUACUGGGCGUAAAGCGCGCGUAGGUGGUUUGAUAAGCGAGAUGUGAAAGCCCCGGGCUUAACCUGGGAACGGCAUUUCGAACUGUCAGGCUAGAGU
rnacentral:rRNA from 1 species